ACCGGCCUACGGGGCGCAGCAGUGAGGAAUAUUGGUCAAUGGUCGGGAGACUGAACCAGCCAAGCCGCGUGAGGGAGGAAGGUACAGAGUAUCGUAAACCUCUUUUGUCAGGGAACAAAGACUGGGACGCGUCCCCGGAUGAGUGUACCUGAAGAAAAAGCAUCGGCUAACUCCGUGCCAGCAGCCGCGGUAAUACGGAGGAUGCGAGCGUUAUCCGGAUUUAUUGGGUUUAAAGGGUGCGCAGGCGGUCUGUUAAGUCAGCGGUCAAAGCCCGGGGCUCAACCCCGGCCCGCCGUUGAAACUGG
rnacentral:rRNA from 1 species